rnacentral:misc_RNA from 1 species
AAAAAAAAAAAAAACUAAUAAGGGAAAAAGAAGCGCAGGUUAACUAGAAUGCGCGCUGGUUGUCCAAAGCCUCCUCCUGUAGUCCUCUGCCCUCUCUAGCCACAUAUCAACCUCUGUCUUCUUCUUAUUCUUUUUAUAUUUGAUCGAAACAGAAGCGGAGGGAAAGAAAACCCCAACGAACCAAGCAAUGAAGCACACUUUAUCGGAGGCGGUCCCAUCCUCACCACCACAAACUUCCUCCGCCACGGCGGU